UUAUUAAAUCCUGCAGAAAUUAAGUAGUCUUUGGCAGAUAGAAAUAUUAAUUUUACUUUAGAAUUUCUAAUGGAAAUGUAGUUAAUACCUUUCACCUUUAUUAUUUUAUUAUUCCAUCAUCAAAGAUGUCACUCACUUUUAAGAGCAAUUCUUACAAUUUUGAUGAUCUACUCACAAUGAUGUCUCUUCUUGAGUAAUUAUAAUUGUUUUAGAACUCUGUAUAUCUAUAAAUAGUUUUAAAAUGUCCUACCAUUCCUUAUUACUUUAAAUUAAUCUAUACUCAAUUUUAGUUUCAUUCUAUUGUCUAAUUAUAUUGUGUAGCAUUAUUAAUGCUUUUCUGGAUGUCAUCAUUCUUUUUAACUUUAUCUUAACUUAAUUGGCUGUUGAUAAUAUUUGCAUUUCAACAGUUUAUUAAGUAUAUAGCAUAUAAGUUGUCUUUGCUGUCAAUUAGUCCAUCAUUUGACACCUAUUACUGAUCUUUUCCCACUGUAGGCUAGAUGUCACUUCUUUACUAUUAAUGAACUAAGAACUGACUUAGAGGGAAAGUUACAACUGUAUAUCUUCUGAGCACACUACUAAAAUGUAAAAAAAAUCCUACUGGCUUAAGAGCCCAUGUAAAUCUGCAUCAUUAGAGAUUUUGAAUUAAAGUGAGUAAGAGGUAAUCCUAGUGUUCUUCAGUAGAUGAAUAAUUGAACAAGCUAUGGUACAUCUCCAUAACAUAUAACUACUGGCAUAGGCAAUGCCUUGGAAGAAUCUCAAGCAAUAAAACAGCUCUUAAAAGAUGUCACCUCUGAGGGAAGCUGAGUAAAAUGUAUCCAAGAUGUUAUGAUGGUUUCCUUGAAUCCAUGAUUUUAUCAAGAUGAAAAGAAAGGAUUUACAGCUGUUUUGAUGGAAAUGUAUAAAUGGAAAAGUUGUUCUAAAAUAAAUAUAUACCAAUGAAUUAUACCAAUGAAUUAUAUAAAGGAUCUCUAAUGAAUCUUUAAUGAGUAAUAUUGUGAUGCACUGUGGCAAAUACUCAUCGAGACUACCAAAGAAUCUGAAGUUCCGCCCAGGUGCUACCAAUCAGAACAGUUUUGUGUUCUCAAUGAUGUCCUGCAAAUAGCAAUCUUCACCCAUUAAUUUAUUGCAUCUAAUCUGUCAUAGAACUGGAAACUGGCAAAAACAGGCUCUCGCGAACUGGAG